rnacentral:rRNA from 1 species
GACGAACGCUGGCGGCGUGCCUAACACAUGCAAGUCGAACGGAGUAAGAGACUUCGGUUUUUUACUUAGUGGCGAACGGGUGAGUAACGCGUGAGAAACCUACCUUUCAGUGGGGGACAACAGUUGGAAACGACUGCUAAUACCGCAUAAUGUCAUUUGGGGGCAUCCCCGAAUGACCAAAGCUUUAUGUGCUGAAAGAUGGUCUCGCGUCUGAUUAGCUAGAUGGCGGGGUAACGGCCCACCAUGGCGACGAUCAGUAGCCGGUCUGAGAGGAUGAACGGCCACAUUGGGACUGAGAUACGGCCCAGACUCCUACGGGAGGCAGCAGUGGGGAAUAUUGGGCAAUGGGGGAAACCCUGACCCAGCAACGCCGCGUGAAGGAAGAAGGCCUUCGGGUUGUAAACUUCUUUUACCAGGGACGAAGAACGUGACGGUACCUGGAGAAAAAGCAACGGCUAACUACGUG